rnacentral:sRNA from 1 species
AAAAAGAAGAAAAGAAAAAGAAAAAGAAGAAGAGGACAA